rnacentral:rRNA from 1 species
UACGGGGGGGGCAAGCGUUGUUCGGAAUUACUGGGCGUAAAGGGCUCGUAGGCGGCCAACUAAGUCGGAUGUGAAAUCCCCAGGCUUAACCUGGGAACUGCAUCCGAUACUGGAUGGCUUGAAUCCGGGAGAGGGAUGCGGAAUUCCAGGUGUAGCGGUGAAAUGCGUAGAUAUCUGGAGGAACACCGGUGGCGAAGGCGGCAUCCUGGACCGAUACUGACGCUGAGGAGCGAAAGCCAGGGGAGCAAACGGG